AGUGAACGCUGGCGGUAGGCCUAACACAUGCGAGUCGAACGGCAGCACAGUAAGAGCUUGCUCUUACGGGUGGCGAGUGGCGGACGGGUGAGGAAUACAUCGGAAUCUACUUUUUCGUGGGGGAUAACGUAGGGAAACUUACGCUAAUACCGCAUACGACCUACGGGUGAAAGCAGGGGAUCUUCGGACCUUGCGCGAUUGAAUGAGCCGAUGUCGGAUUAGCUAGUUGGCGGGGUAAAGGCCCACCAAGGCGACGAUCCGUAGCUGGUCUGAGAGGAUGAUCAGCCACACUGGAACUGAGACUCGGUCCAGACUCCUACGGGAGGCAGCAGUGGGGAAUAUUGGACAAUGGGCGCAAGCCUGAUCCAGCCAUACCGCGUGGGUGAAGAAGGCCUUCGGGUUGUAAAGCCCUUUUGUUGGGAAAGAAAAGCAGCAGGUUAAUACCCCGCUGUUCUGACGGUACCCAAAGAAUAAGCACCGGCUAACUUCGUG
rnacentral:rRNA from 1 species